rnacentral:rRNA from 1 species
UACGAAGAGAGCUAGCGUUGUUCGGAAUCACUGGGCGUAAAGCGCACGUAGGCGGAUUUGUAAGUCAGGGGUGAAAUCCCGGGGCUCAACCUCGGAACUGCCUUUGAUACUGCAAAUCUCGAGUCCGGAAGAGGUGGGUGGAAUUCCUAGUGUAGAGGUGAAAUUCGUAGAUAUUAGGAAGAACACCGGUGGCGAAGGCGGCCCACGGGUUCGGUACUGACUCUGAGGUGCGAAAGCGUGGGGAGCAAACAGG